AUUGAACGCUGGCGGAAUGCUUUACACAUGCAAGUCGAACGGCAGCACGGACUUCGGUCUGGUGGCGAGUGGCGAGCGGGUGAGUAAUGUAUCGGAACGUGCCCAGUCGUGGGGGAUAACGUAGUGAAAAUUACGCUAAUACCGCAUACGAUCUAUGGAUGAAAGCGGGGGAUCGCAAGACCUAGCGCGAUUGGAGCGGCCGAUAUCAGAUUAGGUAGUUGGUGGGGUAAAGGCCCACCAAGACAACGAUCUGUAGCUGGUCUGAGAGGACGACCGGCCACACUGGAACUGAGACCCGGUCCAGACUCCACCGGGAGGCAGCAGUGGGGAAUUUGGACAAUGGGCGAAAGCCUUAUCCAGCCAUUCCGCGUGCAGAAUGAAGGCCCUCGGGUUGUAAACUGCUUUUGUACAGAACGAAAAGGUUUCUACUAAUACUAGGAGCUCAUGACGGUACUGUAAGAAUAAGCACCGGCUAACUACGUGCCAGCCGCCGCGGUAA
rnacentral:rRNA from 1 species